rnacentral:rRNA from 1 species
AACGAACGCUGGCGGCGCGUUUUAAGCAUGCAAGUCGAACGGUAGGCUGGGGGCAACUCCGGCUGAGAGUGGCGAACGGGUGAGUAACACGUAGACAAUCUGGCCCUGGGACAGGGAUAGCUCAUGGAAACAUGGGGUAAUACCGAAUACGGUCGCGGGACUGAGGUUUCGUGAAGAAAGGAGCUACGGCUCCGCCUGGAGAUGAGCCCGCGGCCCAUUAGCUAGUUGGGGGUGUAACGGACCACCAAGGCGAUGAUGGGUAGCCGGCCUGAGAGGGUGAACGGCCACACUGGGACUGAGAUACGGCCCAGACUCCUACGGGAGGCAGCAGCUAAGAAUAUUCCGCAAUGGACGAAAGUCUGACGGAGCGACGCCGCGUGGAUGAGGAAGGCCGAAAGGUUGUAAAGUCCUUUUGUCGAUGAAGAAUAAGUGUGGUAGGGAAUGACCGCAUGAUGACGUUAGUCGGCGAAUAAGCCCCGGCUAAUUACGUGCCAGCAGCCGCGGUAAGAC